AGUAAGCUGACAGCUGGGCCGGGCAGAAAGACUGACAGCAAAGCUCUUAAUUCUCCAGUGCAGAGUGUAACUCCUUGUACAGUGAGGCAUUGAGGUGCUCGACAUUAACCACUACUUCCUUGAGAGGCUCCAACCUGUCAGCAGUGUGUAAAUGUCUUCUGUUCACGUCUCGGAAAAAGAUGCACAGCUGAAUCAAGGAAUGGCUGCUGACAGUGCACUUAGGACUGCAUAUAGCCGAACCAAAUGCCCGAAGGAUGCUACGAUGGAAAGCAGGUGCUGACCACAUGCAUCUCAUGUCUUUGGUGGAUACUGAAAGUGUUGACAAUGGACCCUAAGCUGAAAAGGAAGCUACUCAUACAACGAUAGAAGAUUCUUAAUACCUUGAAAUACUCAUACUGCUAUUAUCUAAUUGUUACAAAGUCUGAAUGCUUCAUAAUCAUGUACUCUCAUAAACAGUAAGUAAAACAGUAAUAGCUGU
rnacentral:lncRNA from 1 species